rnacentral:rRNA from 1 species
GACGAACGCUGGCGGCGUGCCUAAUACAUGCGAGUCGAACGAAGCUGUUUUAACUGGUGCUUGCACCGACUUAAACAACUGAGUGGCGAACGGGUGAGUAACACGUGGGUAACCUGCCCCAAAGCGGGGGAUAACAUUUGGAAACAGAUGCUAAUACCGCAUAACCACAGAAACCACAUGGUUUCUGUGUCAAAGAUGGUUUCGGCUAUCACUUUGGGAUGGACCCGCGGCGUAUUAGCUAGUUGGUAAGGUAAUGGCUUACCAAGGCAAUGAUGCGUAGCCGAACUGAGAGGUUGAUCGGCCACAUUGGGACUGAGACACGGCCCAAACGCCUACGGGAGGCAGCAGUAGGGAAUCUUCCACAAUGGACGAAAGUCUGAUGGAGCAACGCCGCGUGAGUGAAGAAGGUUUUCGGAUCGUAAAACUCUGUUGUCAGAGAAGAACGUGUGCGAGAGUAACUGCUCGUGCAGUGACGGUAUCUGGCCAGAAAGCCACGGCUAACUACGUGCCAGCCGCCGCCGUAA